ensembl:lncRNA
AUGGCUCCCGGGGCGGCGGGGUCAGCGCGGGGCCGCGGCCGGCACGGGGUGGGGGGAGCCGGGCAGCCCCUACCGCCGGGCCUCGGGGCAAGGUUGCUCGGGGGCGGCGGUGCCGAUGUUUUGCAAAGGAUUUCUGCCUGUUUCUCCCCCACCUCCUUUUUUUUUUUUUUUUUUUUUUUUUUUUCAAUUUUCUCAAGCGAUUUGACAGCAUCUCCCCCGCCUUCCGCCUGCCCCCUGGGAUGCCGUGCAACGUGGUUCGGCGCAAACCAGCCGCCGAUCGACGCAUCUAGCUGUCAUUCUCCUCAUCAGUGCUGGCGAGCGAAACAAAGCCCGAGCGCCGUGCUCCCCGGGGAACCUCUGCCCCCGGCGGGCACGCGGCAACGGAUUCGCGGCUCAUAUUGUGGGAGCGGGGGGAGAAUCGUUCGAACGCGGCAGGGAAGGACGUGCGGAGCCAGCACGGGACCGGCGCAGCCCCGCGGCGCCCCCUCAGCCGCCCUCCCCCAGCCGCUGCCGCCGGCGCUGUGCCCCCGCACCCGGUUCGGUGCGGCGCGAGCGGAGCCGCGUCCCCCCGGCCGCCCUCAGCUCCGGCCACGCGCAGCAUCCCGCUUGCCGCCGAACAUCACCCCGCGCCCUUCCCGCUCCCGGUCCCUUCCCCGAGCCCGGCCGCUCGCCCCCUCCCCGCCCCAAACCCACCCCGGCCCCAACGCUUUCCCUCCCUCACUAAUCCCCGGCUCCCAAAUCCCUCGCAAAUCCUCCCCCGCGCCCCCUCCCUCAGCCCCGGGCACGCCGCUGCCCUUGCUGCCCGCUCCGCUCCUACCUUCUGGGUGCUGCUCGGGCUGCUGCUGCUGGUGCUGCAUGAUUCCCACUUUCUUCAGCGCGCGAGAGGAAAAAGAAAAAAGCCCAGGGCCGAGACGACCCCGCCGCCCCGAGCCAGCAACCGCUAGAGCCGCUGCCAGCUCGUCGGUCCCCCCUCCUGCCGCCGCCCGCUCCGCGAGCCCCCUCCUCCCGGUGCCGCUCCUCCUCAGCCCCCUCCCGCCGCUGCCGCUCGCCGCCGCCGCGGGCUUAACUCCCUCCUCGCUGCCGCCGCCGCCACCUGCUGCUGCCGCGCUCCUGCGGCCGGGCCGGGCGGGGGCGCGGAGCCGCUCGCUAAUCGCCCGGAGCUCCGACGGCCGCAAAUAGAACCGCCGCCGCCGCCUUAACCCCUCCGCCGCCGGCCCGCAGCCCGCCCCUCGGCGCGCCCCCGCACACCGCCGCCCCGCAGCCGCCUGCUACUGGCGCCAGCCCGGCUCUCCACGCCCGGGUCAGCACCGAAACGCGAGUGGGUUCGGGGCCGCCCCUUCCACGCCUUGCGGUGAACGCAUCCCUCGCUCUGGACAGCUCCCGGCCCGGCUGUUGUGCACACCGAGAACCCUCAGUUCCUCAAACCUUCAGCGCCUCGACCUGUUGCAAUGGCUCCGUUCCCAUCCUAAGCCAAUCCCAACAUUUUUAGCGUUUCACGAAAGAAAAAAAAAAAACACCUCAAUUAUCUUUCCAAAAUUUUUCAUUUGCAGCUCUCCACAGCGGAAGCCAGAACCUUGCAUUUUGGUUUUAUUUUUCCUUCGUUGGUCUCAAAGCAGCAAUCACAUGCACUGAUGCACAUGACUGGAGUAGCCAUGGGAUGUGUAGGAACAGCAAGGGCAGCACCUCCACUCAGUGAUACUUUUCCCAGUGGCAACAUUGCAGCCAUUGAGAGAAGUACAUAAUGAAACCAAGCAAGGAUUAUACCAAUCCAAAACAGAAUUAAUGCUUCUGAGUUCCAGUUGGCUUUCUCUGAAAUUACUGCUUCCUGAUUUUUUGAGAUUAUUUUCAGGAUAUUUGUUCUGAACAUACCAUUGUUAAAAUAGUGUGUAUGACCCUGUGAUAAAGGUACUAUUUUGUUAAAAAAAAAACAUUCAGCAGAACUGCUACAAGCCCUCUCUUUCAUCACUUCCUUAUCUAUGUCUCUGUUUCACCUUCAAGCUAUCCUUCACCCACAAUUAACGAUAAAUAACAACGACAGAGAAGACUUGGAAAGACUUAGGAAAAAAAAAAAAAAAAAGACCUCAAUGCUUCUGAUAUCCUUCAGUCUCAUACUAAGCCCUGUUAGGUGGAAACCAUCACUUUUAGUGCCCUCCGGAGAGAGAAAGCUUCUAUCUCCAUGUCACUUCUUGGCCUUGUUCUGGGAGUUUUCUCUAACCUUUUGGGUGGAUCUAGCUGCUGUGGCCAUGAGCAGCCCCCAGUAGCAGGUGGCUUUAAUCAGGAAGGCACCACACGCAGGUCAGAAGUUUACAGCAAUGAAAGCUGCAAGAACCAGAAAGGCAAUGGAAUGAUGAUACAGGAGGUGUAAUGACAAAGGGACUAGCACAAUAGAAAGGUGUUACAAGGAGAAGGGAAAAGAGCUCACCCAUCUCUGAAGAUCUGGGCUCCACAAAGGAGGGAUCUCCAACCAGAGAUCCUUCCCAGCGGCAGUCAGCCCUUAAGUGAGGUCUAAGAGAGGUGCUGUUAGGCUUCACCACUUGGUGAAAACAAUUGAAUUGCCUUCACCUGUCCCUUGAUCAUUGUUUUGAAAGAGACCUAUGAAGUUCAACACCAAGACACUAUAGGCAAACCCAUGAGUAAUAAGGCCUGAAUCUAAAACAAACAAAGCAUCCCAAAGAAAAAGGCUGAAGUCUGCAGAAGUCCAUCAAACCCCAGGGUUCUGACCUUGCCAGUACCUGGUUUCCAAUCCCCUGUCCUUACAAAGGAGAACAGCACUAUGUAGCAGAAACUACAGAUACUCUCCAAAGACUCCCAAUAAAACCAUGAAAGAGAGAUACUUUUACA